rnacentral:tRNA from 2 species
CUCGUCGCGAAUAGGCGAUCACAGCUGGCUGUAAACCAGCUCCUUCGGGUGUGCAGGUUCGACUCCUGACGGCGAGAC